rnacentral:rRNA from 1 species
AUUGAACGCUGGCGGCAUGCCUUACACAUGCAAGUCGAACGGUAACAGGUCUUUCGGGAUGCUGACGAGUGGCGAACGGGUGAGUAAUACAUCGGAACGUGCCUAGUAGUGGGGGAUAACUACUCGAAAGAGUGGCUAAUACCGCAUGAGAUCUAUGGAUGAAAGCAGGGGACCUUUGGGCCUUGUGCUACUAGAGCGGCCGAUGGCAGAUUAGGUAGUUGGUGUGAUAAAAGCUUACCAAGCCUACGAUCUGUAGCUGGUCUGAGAGGACGAUCAGCCACACUGGGACUGAGACACGGCCCAGACUCCUACGGGAGGCAGCAGUGGGGAAUUUUGGACAAUGGGCGCAAGCCUGAUCCAGCAAUGCCGCGUGAAGGAUGAAGGCCUUCGGGUUGUAAACUGCUUUUGUACGGAACGAAAAGUCUUGGGUUAAUACCCUGGGAUCAUGACGGUACCGUAAGAAUAAGCACCGGCUAACUACGUG